AUUGAACGCUGGCGGCAGGCUUAACACAUGCAAGUCGAGCGAGCGGCGGACGGGUGAGUAAUGUCUGUGAAUCGGACUGAGGGAGAGGGAUAACUACUGGGAACGGUAGCUAAUAACGCAUACCAUCAGAUGUGUCGCGAUGGGAUUAGCUAGUAGGUGGGGUAAUGGCUCACCUAGGCGACGAUCCCUAGCUGGUGUGAGAGGAUGACCAGCCACACUGGAACUGAGACACGGUCCAGACUCCUACGGGAGGCAGCAGUGGGGAAUAUUGGACAAUGGGCGCAAGCCUGAUGCAGCCAUGCCGCGUGUGUGAAGAAGGCCUUCGGGUUGUAAAGCACUUUAAGCGAGGAGGCGUUACUCGCAGAAGAAGCACCGGCUAACUCCGUGCCAGCAGCCGCGGUAAUAC
rnacentral:rRNA from 1 species